rnacentral:tRNA from 1 species
GCCGCGGUGGCGGAAUGGUAGACGCAAUAGACUCAAAAUCUAUCGGGGGCAACCUCGUGAGAGUUCAAGUCUCUCCCGCGGCA